UGUGUGUGUGUGUGUGUGUGUGAUGCAUGCAUGUCAUUACUAUAUAUGAGAAGAACUUCAUGUCACAAAAAAGAGUAAACUAGCUGGCCAUGAAAUAAAAGUAAUCUUCAACAGUAGAGAAGGGUUCCAAUUUUGACCAGACAAACUCAAGAAGACACACCAGCUGAAACCAUUACUUCCAGAAUGAAAAUAUGUGCUCUCUUGGUUCUUCCUUUCUUAAUCACUUAAGACACGCAUUUUCUUCAAUUAAUCCAAUGCCAACACUUCUUUCAUUGCAAGAAUACAAACAAAAAUUUCAACUCUAGGUGGAUCACCCAUAACCUAAAAUUUCCCCCUUUUGUCCACAUAUUUCCAAAUUCAAUCCUCACAUAAAGAUUCAUAAUAUGACUUCAUUGUAAGCACAUCCUUUUCUUCCCCUGAUAAAUGAUAAUAGUUAGAUUUCUCCUAAAAUAUGUCACCAUUGAUACCUACUCACUCAUUCACAAUUUCAUACAAUUGGUUGAUAGUUGAGACCUUUUAAGAGACUGCAUCAUGAAGUCUUGGAAACCGAUCACAUAACUGCCCAUACCUCCAGCUAGUUAUCUUUUUCCAGAACCAAACUCUAUCCUGGUUCCCACUUCAAUAGCCACCUGCCAAAAAAAAAAUAGCGUCUCCUAUUAUUACAUUCUUCUGCAAUCUACUUCUACAAACACAAGGUACCCUAAAUGCUUUAGAAUACCCAUUCCCCCCUCCAAUCCCCCAAAAUGAGAAAGGCGGGUACAGAAAA